GGUAAGGUGGCUCAGUGGUAAGAGUACUUGCCUUGCAUGCAUUUGGCCCUGGGUUCGAUUCCUCAGCACCA
rfam:Dipodomys ordii contig_28679, whole genome shotgun sequence.